rnacentral:rRNA from 1 species
UACGAAGGGGACUAGCGUUGUUCGGAAUCACUGGGCGUAAAGCGCACGUAGGCGGAUCGUUAAGUCAGGGGUGAAAUCCUGGAGCUCAACUCCAGAACUGCCUUUGAUACUGGCGAUCUUGAGUCCGGAAGAGGUGAGUGGAACUCCUAGUGUAGAGGUGGAAUUCGUAGAUAUUAGGAAGAACACCAGUGGCGAAGGCGGCUCACUGGUCCGGUACUGACGCUGAGGUGCGAAAGCGUGGGGAGCAAACAGG